AAAACAUGCAUGAAAAAUCAACGAUUCUUCUUAGACCCCUCAGGCAAGUGAAGUCAUGGAGCAAACCACGACCCCAUAAUUGGAGAGACAAAGUAAUACUAAAAAUCACAACUUACAGCCUCAGAAACCCACAGGAUACGCAUUGAGGACUCUUCAUCUAACAGCCCUGACCCAUGCAGAACCUGCACCCAAGAAUCAAGCUCAGGCUUUUUCACCACUCAGGUUCCAAGAAAAGCAGCCUUAUGGACUCUCUCAAGUGUGGGCUGCUGAGGAGCUUUCUCAAAAGCCUUUGGUGACAAGCUGAAGAACCCACUCCAAGUUGUCCUGCUGGCUUCCGUGCUGACAUCAUGAAUGUUCCUGAACCAGCUGGAGAUCAUUUUCAAAUUUUGCUGCAAUCAAGGGUUGGUUAAGACACAGCCACUGGCAGCUGACAUGAGAUCUGUACAUCUGUGACUAGAAGACCCAGAAGGCCACCCACUCUUCCUCCUAGUGAGCCACUGGCACAGCAGAUAUGGCUUACAGCCCAAUCAUGUUCUUUAUUACACAAAAAUUCAGUGCAUCAAAAAUAGAAAGAAGCCCCACCACAUUUGAAAUUAAAUUUUAUUUAAACAGAAGAGCAGACCAAAGAGCUCAUUGACUCAAGGAGCAUCAUGGCAACUGGGCUGUACCUGAAGGGGAAGAAUCCAGGGUGUGAUCCACAACCAAGGCCUGAAGAAGUGGGGCCUGUACUUGACCUACCCAGGGUUCUCCAGGAGUAUGUGUCCAACCACCAAGGUGGGCAGCAGAGUUUGGAGGCUGAAUCCUUUGGUACCUGGAGCGGGAUGGCAAUGGAACCACACAGAGAAUGGCCCAGAGCACUGGGAAG